rnacentral:rRNA from 1 species
UACGAGUGCCUCAAGCGUUGUCCGGAUUUAUUGGGCGUAAAGAGCGUGUAGGCGGCUUUACAGGUCCGUUGUGAAAACUCGAGGCUCAACCUCGAGACGCCGGUGGAAACCGUAAGGCUAGAGUCCGGAAGAGGAGAGUGGAAUUCCUGGUGUAGCGGUGAAAUGCGCAGAUAUCAGGAGGAACACCCGUGGCGAAAGCGGCUCUCUGGGACGGUACUGACGCUGAGACGCGAAAGCGUGGGGAGCAAACAGG